UUAACACAAAUUUGUAUGCAGUUAGUACGAUUGCCUACGUUUGCCGCCAGGGGCGCUGUUUCAACUGCAUACAAAU
rnacentral:pre_miRNA from 1 species